AUUGCUUCUCGGCCUUUUGGCUAAGAUCAAGUGUAGUAUCUGUUCUUAUCAGUUUAAUAUCUGAUAUAUCCUCUGUCCGAGGACAACACAGUAAAUGGAUUUUUGGAACUAGGAGAUGGAAUAGGGGCUUGCUCGGUUCACUCCACACAUUGACCUGGUAUUGCAGUAUCUGCAGGAACAGGGGACCCCCU
ensembl:snRNA U2 U2 spliceosomal RNA